UAGAUUAUUGAAGGAUUUUUUUUCCUUUUCUAUUUGGAAAGGAUGUGGAUGGUGGAUAAUUGAACAAUGUAAUAAACUUUCUUUCUACUAGGAAAGAGUAAGCUCUGAUUUAAGGUGAACAAAGCAUCUACUCUCACCUUGCAGUCAGUGGCAUUAUGUACAAAGUGACUGCCUGUGACUCAGCCUUCUGUCUGGGAGAAUUCUUUGGCUCUGAAUCAAAAGACCAAUAAGAAGACUUCUCAAGUCUCCUAUAUUGGAUAAAGUGUGAGGCCAUUGUGCUUUUUUAAUGAGGUCACCAUCCUCUGACAUUUGCUAUACAUUUCCUCAACAAAUGCUGACCUGGAGCUGACUUGAUAGCAGGAACCACUAGAGACAGAGCAGCAAACAAGACUGACAACUUCUUUACAUACAUGAGAUGCCAUUCUUGUGAAGAGGACAUAUCAUCACGUAAAUAUAAAUAAAACAAGGCUUCUUGUCACAGCCAGUAGCCAUAUUGCUAUUCUCUAUAUGAUAGCAACAUACCAGAGCCCUGGAGAGGCUGCUUUGGGCUCCCUGUCCAUUCUACUUACGACCUGGAUGAACAGAGAUGGAUGGGAUGAGCGGGGAAGAACGGAGAUGAAGUCAUGCCGGCCACCUUAAUUGCUGGCCAGAGAUAGGCACCAGAAAUGGUGACGUCAGGUAACUACAGU